rnacentral:rRNA from 1 species
AUUGAACGCUGGCGGCAUGCCUUACACAUGCAAGUCGAACGGCAGCACGGGUGCUUGCACCUGGUGGCGAGUGGCGAACGGGUGAGUAAUACAUCGGAACAUGUCCUGUAGUGGGGGAUAGCCCGGCGAAAGCCGGAUUAAUACCGCAUACGAUCUACGGAUGAAAGCGGGGGACCUUCGGGCCUCGCGCUAUAGGGUUGGCCGAUGGCUGAUUAGCUAGUUGGUGGGGUAAAGGCCUACCAAGGCGACGAUCAGUAGCUGGUCUGAGGACGACCAGCCACACUGGGACUGAGACACGGCCCAGACUCCUACGGGAGGCAGCAGUGGGGAAUUUUGGACAAUGGGCGAAAGCCUGAUCCAGCAAUGCCGCGUGUGUGAAGAAGGCCUUCGGGUUGUAAAGCACUUUUGUCCGGAAAGAAAUCCUUGGCUCUAAUACAGUCGGGGGAUGACGGUACCGGAAGAAUAAGCACCGGCUAACUACGUG